rnacentral:piRNA from 1 species
UAGGUCUUUCUUUACCUGGAACUUGCUCUA